UGAAAGGCCAAUCAAACCGGGAGAUAGCUGGUUCUCCCCGAAAGCUAUUUAGGUAGCGCCUCGUGAAUUCAUCUCCGGGGGUAGAGCACUGUUUCGGCAAGGGGGUCAUCCCGACUUACCAACCCGAUGCAAACUGCGAAUACCGGAGAAUGUUAUCACGGGAGACACACGGCGGGUGCUAACGUCCGUCGUGAAGAGGGAAACAACCCAGACCGCCAGCUAAGGUCCCAAAGUCAUGGUUAAGUGGGAAACGAUGUGGGAAGGCCCAGACAGCCAGGAUGUUGGCUUAGAAGCAGCCAUCAUUUAAAGAAAGCGUAAUAGCUCACUGGUCGAGUCGGCCUGCGCGGAAGAUGUAACGGGGCUAAACCAUGCACCGAAGCUGCGGCAGCGACGCUUAUGCGUUGUUGGGUAGGGGAGCGUUCUGUAAGCCUGGGAAGGUGUACUGUGAGGUAUGCUGGAGGUAUCAGAAGUGCGAAUGCUGACAUAAGUAACGAUAAAGCGGGUGAAAAGCCCGCUCGCCGGAAGACCAAGGGUUCCUGUCCAACGUUAAUCGGGGCAGGGUGAGUCGACCCCUAAGGCGAGGCCGAAAGGCGUAGUCGAUGGGAAACAGGUUAAUAUUCCUGUACUUGGUGUUACUGCGAAGGGGGGACGGAGAAGGCUAUGUUGGCCGGGCGACGGUUGUCCCGGUUUAAGCGUGUAGGCUGGUUUUCCAGGCAAAUCCGGAAAAUCAAGGCUGAGGCGUGAUGACGAGGCACUACGGUGCUGAAGCAACAAAUGCCCUGCUUCCAGGAAAAGCCUCUAAGCAUCAGGUAACAUCAAAUCGUACCCCAAACCGACACAGGUGGUCAGGUAGAGAAUACCAAGGCGCUUGAGAGAACUCGGGUGAAGGAACUAGGCAAAAUGGUGCCGUAACUUCGGGAGAAGGCACGCUGAUAUGUAGGUGAAGCGACUUGCUCGUGGAGCUGAAAUCAGUCGAAGAUACCAGCUGGCUGCAACUGUUUAUUAAAAACACAGCACUGUGCAAACACGAAAGUGGACGUAUACGGUGUGACGCCUGCCCGGUGCCGGAAGGUUAAUUGAUGGGGUUAGCGCAAGCGAAGCUCUUGAUCGAAGCCCCGGUAAACGGCGGCCGUAACUAUAACGGUCCUAAGGUAGCGAAAUUCCUUGUCGGGUAAGUUCCGACCUGCACGAAUGGCGUAAUGAUGGCCAGGCUGUCUCCACCCGAGACUCAGUGAAAUUGAACUCGCUGUGAAGAUGCAGUGUACCCGCGGCAAGACGGAAAGACCCCGUGAACCUUUACUAUAGCUUGACACUGAACAUUGAGCCUUGAUGUGUAGGAUAGGUGGGAGGCUUUGAAGUGUGGACGCCAGUCUGCAUGGAGCCGACCUUGAAAUACCACCCUUUAAUGUUUGAUGUUCUAACGUUGACCCGUAAUCCGGGUUGCGGACAGUGUCUGGUGGGUAGUUUGACUGGGGCGGUCUCCUCCUAAAGAGUAACGGAGGAGCACGAAGGUUGGCUAAUCCUGGUCGGACAUCAGGAGGUUAGUGCAAUGGCAUAAGCCAGCUUGACUGCGAGCGUGACGGCGCGAGCAGGUGCGAAAGCAGGUCAUAGUGAUCCGGUGGUUCUGAAUGGAAGGGCCAUCGCUCAACGGAUAAAAGGUACUCCGGGGAUAACAGGCUGAUACCGCCCAAGAGUUCAUAUCGACGGCGGUGUUUGGCACCUCGAUGUCGGCUCAUCACAUCCUGGGGCUGAAGUAGGUCCCAAGGGUAUGGCUGUUCGCCAUUUAAAGUGGUACGCGAGCUGGGUUUAGAACGUCGUGAGACAGUUCGGUCCCUAUCUGCCGUGGGCGCUGGAGAACUGAGGGGGGCUGCUCCUAGUACGAGAGGACCGGAGUGGACGCAUCACUGGUGUUCGGGUUGUCAUGCCAAUGGCACUGCCCGGUAGCUAAAUGCGGAAGAGAUAAGUGCUGAAAGCAUCUAAGCACGAAACUUG
rnacentral:rRNA from 1 species